rnacentral:rRNA from 1 species
AGGACGAACGCUGGCGGCGUGCCUAACACAUGCAAGUCGAACGAGGCUUAUCCGGUAGCAAUACCGGAGACUGCCUAGUGGCGAACGGGUGAGUAGCACGUGAGCAACCUGCCCCGAAGACUGGGAUAACACCGGGAAACCGGUGCUAAUACCAGAUGCCCCCACCGGAUCGCAUGAUCUGGUGAGGAAAUGGAUUCCGCUUCGGGAGGGGCUCGCGGCCUAUCAGCUAGUUGGUGAGGUAACGGCUCACCAAGGCUUCGACGGGUAGCUGGUCUGAGAGGACGAUCAGCCACACUGGGACUGAGACACGGCCCAGACUCCUACGGGAGGCAGCAGUGGGGAAUCUUGCACAAUGGGCGAAAGCCUGAUGCAGCAACGCCGCGUGAGGGACGAAGGCUUUCUGAGUUGUAAACCUCUUUCAGCAGGGACGAUUGUGACGGUACCUGCAGAAGAAGCCCGGCCAACUACGCGCCAGCAGCCG